UCAGUCCCUGCAACAGCCCAGAGCUGUGUCUGAGUAAGCAGGGGACCAGCCAGCAGGAGAGGAGAGAGGCAGGAGAGUCCUGCAGCUCUGGACCACCUCCUGCCCUCCUAACUGUGAGGUGCCCCUUGCUGGCCCAACCCAACGGCAGUGGCCUUGGGGAGGGUUCCCAGCCCUGCCUGCGUCCUGGGAAGGAGCCAAUGCUGCCCUUCUGCUGGCCACCCCACACCAGGGACAGAGAGAGCAAGGCCGUGCAUUUCUGUUUGGGAAGAGGAGGGAGAGAGGGGAAAGGAAGAGGGAUGACUCACAAGUGCUGAACUUUUGAGGAAAGCACAGCUGUAAUCCCAGACCAUCUGACUGGGGAGAUUGUUCUGAACAGUGCUUACUUAUGUAGUGCUUUCCCUUCAUCCUCCUCCACCUUGAAAAAAUCAGUCAGUUCUGCCACACAAAGCAAGAGAGAAAAGAUUUCCAGGAAUAUAAUUAAUGUUUUAAGCAAGAGAAGUCAUCAGUCCCGUUACUACGUGUCUUCCAAAGGGGUAAGAUCUUGUGUGGAACAGAAGUGGACAGAGAUAAGAUACUUUGGAAGACGACCAUGUGUUUGAUGUAAGAAGCUGGUUACUUCAUAUUGUGCGACCUCUUCUAGAUCCCCUGUCUCAGAUCAAACAUGGUUAUGUUAUAGGACUUCUGUUUAUGUUUCCUUGCGAAAAAAAGCCCUGCCAAAAUCUGUUUGUGGCAGUUUUACCGGAAGUUGCACACUGCUGUUUCUUACGUGAUGACAGUCGGCUAAAAGAGUGUAUACUUCUGUCUGUCUCCUACAGAUCUUACCUUUGUAAUGGUUAGGAGGACAUGCUUUGUCUGGUACCUAUAAGUGGAAAAGAACCAGAAAGAAGUCGGUGCCUGAGCUAUCUUUUUAAAACCAUGUUCUAAAAUACUGUGGCUCAUUAUCAGCUAGGAAAACUGUGCACAAAUGAAAGCAUUGCUGAAACUCUGGUGACUGGAUACUGGAUGAUGACAGCUCUCUCUGCCCUAACGUCUUUCAGUGAUUCUUGUGCUCCUAGUAAAGUCUGUGACAAUUAA